GGAGGAUUGAGUGGACCCUGGAGGAUAUUUUCUCCAAGACACUUUUGAUAAAAGCAGCUUUAUAGGAGUGGCUCUGGAAGGACGUCCUGCGCGUGGCCCUUACAAACUCCCCACUGCUUGCUGAGAUGGAUUAAAAGAUGCAAACUCACUGAAAUACGCCAAGGAAUAUAAUGGUCUCUACAGAAGAUCUGGCUGUGUCAACCUACAAAAAGUUCCAGCUGUGGCAGCCGUGUGGAACAAAGGGAACUCUUGGCUUAAUGUGGAGUACAUGCUUCUGACGUUCCAGUUCAGGCAAGAAAUAAAUAAAGCUAUUACAAAGCCCUUGA